AACGUAGGUUCCGAGCGUUAUCCGGAUUUACUGGGCGUAAAGCGCGUUCAGGCGGUUUGGCAAGUCGGGCAUGAAAUCUCUCGGCUCAACCGGGAGAGGUUGUCCGAUACUGCUGGACUUGAGGGCAGUAGAGGGUGGUGGAAUUCCGGGUGUAGUGGUGAAAUGCGCAAAUAUCAGGAGGAACACCAGCGGCGAAGGCGGCGCUCUGGGCCGGUACUGACGCUGAGGAGCGAAAGCGUGGGUAGCAAACAGG
rnacentral:rRNA from 1 species